rnacentral:rRNA from 1 species
AUGAAGGACGUGCUAAUCUGCGAUAAGCGUCGGUAAGGUGAUAUGAACCGUUAUAACCGGCGAUUUCCGAAUGGGGAAACCCAGUGUGUUUCGACACACUAUCAUUAACUGAAUCCAUAGGUUAAUGAGGCGAACCGGGGGAACUGAAACAUCUAAGUACCCCGAGGAAAAGAAAUCAACCGAGAUUCCCCCAGUAGCGGCGAGCGAACGGGGAGCAGCCCAGAGCCUGAAUCAGUGUGUGUGUUAGUGGAAGCGUCUGGAAAGGCGCGCGAUACAGGGUGACAGCCCCGUACACAAAAAUGCACAUGCUGUGAGCUCGAUGAGUAGGGCGGGACACGUGGUAUCCUGUCUGAAUAUGGGGGGACCAUCCUCCAAGGCUAAAUACUCCUGACUGACCGAUAGUGAACCAGUACCGUGAGGGAAAGGCGAAAAGAACCCCGGCGAGGGGAGUGAAAAAGAACCUGAAACCGUGUACGUACAAGCAGUGGGAGCACGCUUAGGCGUGUGACUGCGUACCUUUUGUAUAAUGGGUCAGCGACUUAUAUUCUGUAGCAAGGUUAACCGAAUAGGGGAGCCGAAGGGAAACCGAGUCUUAACUGGGCGUUAAGUUGCAGGGUAUAGACCCGAAACCCGGUGAUCUAGCCAUGGGCAGGUUGAAGGUUGGGUAACACUAACUGGAGGACCGAACCGACUAAUGUUGAAAAAUUAGCGGAUGACUUGUGGCUGGGGGUGAAAGGCCAAUCAAACCGGGAGAUAGCUGGUUCUCCCCGAAAGCUAUUUAGGUAGCGCCUCGUGAAUUCAUCUCCGGGGGUAGAGCACUGUUUCGGCAAGGGGGUCAUCCCGACUUACCAACCCGAUGCAAACUGCGAAUACCGGAGAAUGUUAUCACGGGAGACACACGGCGGGUGCUAACGUCCGUCGUGAAGAGGGAAACAACCCAGACCGCCAGCUAAGGUCCCAAAGUCAUGGUUAAGUGGGAAACGAUGUGGGAAGGCCCAGACAGCCAGGAUGUUGGCUUAGAAGCAGCCAUCAUUUAAAGAAAGCGUAAUAGCUCACUGGUCGAGUCGGCCUGCGCGGAAGAUGUAACGGGGCUAAACCAUGCACCGAAGCUGCGGCAGCGACGCUGAUGCGUUGUUGGGUAGGGGAGCGUUCUGUAAGCCUGCGAAGGUGUGCUGUGAGGCAUGCUGGAGGUAUCAGAAGUGCGAAUGCUGACAUAAGUAACGAUAAAGCGGGUGAAAAGCCCGCUCGCCGGAAGACCAAGGGUUCCUGUCCAACGUUAAUCGGGGCAGGGUGAGUCGACCCCUAAGGCGAGGCCGAAAGGCGUAGUCGAUGGGAAACAGGUUAAUAUUCCUGUACUUGGUGUUACUGCGAAGGGGGGACGGAGAAGGCUAUGUUGGCCGGGCGACGGUUGUCCCGGUUUAAGCGUGUAGGCUGGUUUUCCAGGCAAAUCCGGAAAAUCAAGGCUGAGGCGUGAUGACGAGGCACUACGGUGCUGAAGCAACAAAUGCCCUGCUUCCAGGAAAAGCCUCUAAGCAUCAGGUAACAUCAAAUCGUACCCCAAACCGACACAGGUGGUCAGGUAGAGAAUACCAAGGCGCUUGAGAGAACUCGGGUGAAGGAACUAGGCAAAAUGGUGCCGUAACUUCGGGAGAAGGCACGCUGAUAUGUAGGUGAAGUCCCUCGCGGAUGGAGCUGAAAUCAGUCGAAGAUACCAGCUGGCUGCAACUGUUUAUUAAAAACACAGCACUGUGCAAACACGAAAGUGGACGUAUACGGUGUGACGCCUGCCCGGUGCCGGAAGGUUAAUUGAUGGGGUUAGCGCAAGCGAAGCUCUUGAUCGAAGCCCCGGUAAACGGCGGCCGUAACUAUAACGGUCCUAAGGUAGCGAAAUUCCUUGUCGGGUAAGUUCCGACCUGCACGAAUGGCGUAAUGAUGGCCAGGCUGUCUCCACCCGAGACUCAGUGAAAUUGAACUCGCUGUGAAGAUGCAGUGUACCCGCGGCAAGACGGAAAGACCCCGUGAACCUUUACUAUAGCUUGACACUGAACAUUGAGCCUUGAUGUGUAGGAUAGGUGGGAGGCUUAGAAGUGUGGACGCCAGUCUGCAUGGAGCCGACCUUGAAAUACCACCCUUUAAUGUUUGAUGUUCUAACGUUGACCCGUGAUCCGGGUUGCGGACAGUGUCUGGUGGGUAGUUUGACUGGGGCGGUCUCCUCCUAAAGAGUAACGGAGGAGCACGAAGGUUGGCUAAUCCUGGUCGGACAUCAGGAGGUUAGUGCAAUGGCAUAAGCCAGCUUGACUGCGAGCGUGACGGCGCGAGCAGGUGCGAAAGCAGGUCAUAGUGAUCCGGUGGUUCUGAAUGGAAGGGCCAUCGCUCAACGGAUAAAAGGUACUCCGGGGAUAACAGGCUGAUACCGCCCAAGAGUUCAUAUCGACGGCGGUGUUUGGCACCUCGAUGUCGGCUCAUCACAUCCUGGGGCUGAAGUAGGUCCCAAGGGUAUGGCUGUUCGCCAUUUAAAGUGGUACGCGAGCUGGGUUUAGAACGUCGUGAGACAGUUCGGUCCCUAUCUGCCGUGGGCGCUGGAGAACUGAGGGGGGCUGCUCCUAGUACGAGAGGACCGGAGUGGACGCAUCACUGGUGUUCGGGUUGUCAUGCCAAUGGCACUGCCCGGUAGCUAAAUGCGGAAGAGAUAAGUGCUGAAAGCAUCUAAGCACGAAACUUGCCCCGAGAUGAGUUCUCCCUGACUCCUUGAGAGUCCUGAAGGAACGUUGAAGACGACGACGUUGAUAGGCCGGGUGUGUAAGCGCAGCGAUGCGUUGAGCUAACCGGUACUAAUGAACCGUGAGGCUUAACCUU